rnacentral:misc_RNA from 1 species
CACCUUCCUCAGCGAGCGACUCCAGCAUCCACUCUUCGGCGAUGACGUUCCUCGUCCAGACGGGGCCCCGACCCGAGUCGAGUUCGUCUGGUUGGACCCGAACGACAGCCCCCACGCACGGGCUGGCGCAGCACAGCCGGCAUACCCUCUCUCUCAUGUUUGCAUAGAUCACCCGAAGACUGCACAGGUGGCAGGCCGUACCCCAUCCUCCCUGGGUCCAUCGGGGGGGAUCUAGGGAGGGGCUGCCUUCUCAUAUUGAAAUCCUUCACCUUAAGGAGGGAGGGGGGAUCGCCCCCAUCUCCUCCGCCAAGCCCCGGGGGCGUUGACCCCGAGCGUUACAUGGGUACGCUCAGCGACGGGAUUCGCCGCAAGCAGAACAAGCUCCAUCGCGGCUCGCCUCACACCGGAGGACGACCUACAGACGCUCUUCCAGCCAUCCGCAAGAUGCCCUCUGAGCGCCUCAGCAGGAACGGGCUAUCCCAGGCAGACGGCACUGCUCUUCACCACGUGGCGCAGCGGCUUGUGCCGGGAAUCGACCGCAUCGCCACGCGUCAACACGGCCAGCAAGCCGCAUGCCCAUCACAGAACCGCCCUUUGCCGGAAUCCUUCGAUGCUGCGCGGAGCGGGGCUGUGGGGCCCGUGGCCCCGACGUUGCCGCGGUCUGGUGGCGCUGUGGGUGGGCGGCAGUAACAAGGAGCAACGCGAGGUUGCUGCACACGGCACCUUCUCCUCAAGGGCGGAGAGACCUUUGCGAACCGGAAGAUGAUGGCUUACCAGGUGAUGAAGGUGAAGCGUUUUCCAGCUAGGAGGAUGCACCAUGCAGGCUGCCUCCAGCAACCUAUCGACCGAAUACAACACCGCGUUCGCCCGGGACAUCAGCAGCCCGAACAACGAGGACAGCGUGCACGCCUUGAAGGCGGCGUUCGACGUCUUCGUGACGCAAGCGCGGCACGGACGGCGUUUCGUUCUCGGCGCCCCUCGGACCAAAGACGAGGCCCUUAGUGGACGGAAUAGCCGAAGCCUUCUACGCUGAGCCGGAGGCCGCAGCGUCGGCACGCGCUAGCCAGCACCUGUCGACCGAACGCGACGCCGUCAUCACGAAGCACAGAGGCCCUCACCUAAAACAACAGCAACACAGGGGCGGAGGAGGAGGCCCAGGCGCGAGUACAUUCAAGGCGGCAACAACGGGAGAAAAAUGUGCCGCCAACGCCCUCGUGCGACUCCUGCCGCAAAAGCCCCUUCCGCACACACACACACACACACGCACACACACACACACACACACACACACACACACACACACACACACACACAUAAAUAUGCGCGCCGCUGGAUCCGUCUGCCUCGCCAACUGAGGGGGAGGGGGGCCUCAUCGCGAACGGACGCUCCUCAACACGGCAUGACGGGCCGAAGGGGCUCUCCUCCCGCUGCGUCCAGCACGGCCGGUGACACAGUCCGGCUUGCUACCCUUUUUCCCGCUACGUCGCACCUUUGGUGAAUCAUCGCCGGCUCCUCGCUGGGAAGACGGCCAGCAGCUGGGACGAAGUCUGCCGUCUGACCCCGCAGAGCUUCCUCAGCGUCUCCAGCGCCACAGUAGCGCCUUACCGUGCUGCGGAGGCGAGGCCAAGUCGUGGCGCGGCCCUUCUAUCCGGAUCUUUUAGGCGUCGUGCGGCUCGGUGCUAAGCGGCACGGUCGCGCACGCCUCUCCGCAUUUCGGAAUAGCGAACGAUGCGAAGGUGCGUGUGUGGCGCUGGUGGCAAUAUUCGUUUUUGUCUGCCUUCUCUCUGUUUGUCUGUCUUUUGCAUCCCCCCUCCCCCCUGUGCGCCGGCGAAGGAGAAGAGGUGCUCACGUAGCUGCUUGUGGACCUUGGCCCGCAUGUCCCGCUCUCCAUCUGUCUGCGCCCUUGGUUCAUUGCCAUCACUCCCUUGGCGGCUGCUCGUCUAUGUAUGUACAGUGAUAUUCACUGCGCCUUGUCUCUCCGUCGUCCGCGUGGUGUUAC